rnacentral:rRNA from 1 species
GACGAACGCUGGCGGCGUGCUUAACACAUGCAAGUCGAACGGAAAGGCCCUGCUUUUGUGGGGUGCUCGAGUGGCGAACGGGUGAGUAACACGUGAGUAACCUGCCCUAGACUUUGGGAUAACUUCAGGAAACUGGGGCUAAUACCGGAUAGGAGCUCCUGCUGCAUGGUGGGGGUUGGAAAGUUUCGGCGGUUGGGGAUGGACUCGCGGCUUAUCAGCUUGUUGGUGGGGUAGUGGCUUACCAAGGCUUUGACGGGUAGCCGGCCUGGGAGGGUGACCGGCCACAUUGGGACUGAGAUACGGCCCAGACUCCUACGGGAGGCAGCAGUGAGGAAUAUUGCACAAUAGGCGGAAGCCUGAUGCAGCAACGCCGCGUGCGGGAUGACGGCCUUCGGGUUGUAAACCGCUUUCGCCUGUGACAAAGCGUGAGUGACGGUAAUGGGUAAAGAAGCACCGGCUAACUACGUG